UGCCAAAAAUAUGUGAAUGAAUUCCUAGCCCUCUGCAUUUUGAUUCCCUUUGUUACCCUUUGUUUUUUUUUGAUGUGCGCUUAUCUUAGAAUCAAAAAAACCCUUGAAUCAACUGCAGUAGACCUGAGAUUUAACUUGUUGAUGUUUGUUUAAACAACCAUAAUCUGAAUUAUUUCUUGUACAGCCACCGUCACUGAUGGAACACGCCUCCAAACUAAACCUGUAGGGAAGACUUUCGACACAACCAUCCGUUCAGCUUGUAAAGUUUAAACAAAACCCCAUUACUAGUAGAUCACCACCACUAGCAAAGAAAAAAAUAGUGUCUUGUCAAUGGCUGAACCAUGACACCUGAAACUUCCCCGUUACAGCCACUUUCUAUCACAUCUUAAGCUUGCGACAAACUUUCUUUAACUGUAAAACCUGUUCCACAAUACAUGUUCCUUGUAUUUGGAAAUCCACCAAAAAAAAAACAGUUUGGUGAUUGCAUCACAAAUGUCUUUGGACUCCCAAUAGAACAUCUCUGAUUCAUCAAUACCCUAUGACAUGUCUUUGAAUUGAUGUCUCCACAUGUGAAUUUCCUUCUACUUCCGUCCUUUGAAAAUAUCCUUUAUUUUUUUCUUGUGAUGCCAAAAGAAACCAAGUCUAGCCUUAGUUGUUUCUAACUAUCAAUGCAUAUCAUCAAAUCAUACAUUUACAUAUUUUCUUAGAUGUCUAAAUUCUAGAACAC
rnacentral:lncRNA from 1 species